rnacentral:rRNA from 1 species
CGGUUAAGUUAGAAAGGGCGCACGGUGGAUGCCUUGGCACUAGGAGCCGAUGAAGGACGGGACGAACACCGAUAUGCUUCGGGGAGCUGUAAGCAAGCUUUGAUCCGGAGAUUUCCGAAUGGGGAAACCCACCACUCGUAAUGGAGUGGUAUCCAUAUCUGAAUUCAUAGGAUAUGAGAAGGCAGACCCGGGGAACUGAAACAUCUAAGUACCCGGAGGAAGAGAAAGCAAAUGCGAUUCCCUGAGUAGCGGCGAGCGAAACGGGAUUAGCCCAAACCAAGAGGCUUGCCUCUUGGGGUUGUAGGACACUCUGUACGGAGUUACAAAGGAACGAGGUAGAUGAAGAGGUCUGGAAAGGCCCGCCAUAGGAGGUAACAGCCCUGUAGUCAAAACUUCGUUCUCUCCUGAGUGGAUCCUGAGUACGGCGGAACACGUGAAAUUCCGUCGGAAUCCGGGAGGACCAUCUCCCAAGGCUAAAUACUCCCUAGUGACCGAUAGUGAACCAGUACCGUGAGGGAAAGGUGAAAAGCACCCCGGAAGGGGAGUGAAAGAGAUCCUGAAACCGUGUGCCUACAAGUAGUCAGAGCCCGUUAACGGGUGAUGGCGUGCCUUUUGUAGAAUGAACCGGCGAGUUACGAUCCCGUGCAAGGUUAAGCAGAAGAUGCGGAGCCGCAGCGAAAGCGAGUCUGAAUAGGGCGCAUGAGUACGUGGUCGUAGACCCGAAACCAGGUGAUCUACCCAUGUCCAGGGUGAAGUUCAGGUAACACUGAAUGGAGGCCCGAACCCACGCACGUUGAAAAGUGCGGGGAUGAGGUGUGGGUAGGGGUGAAAUGCCAAUCGAACCUGGAGAUAGCUGGUUCUCUCCGAAAUAGCUUUAGGGCUAGCCUCAAGGUAAGAGUCUUGGAGGUAGAGCACUGAUUGGACUAGGGGCCCCUACCGGGUUACCGAAUUCAGUCAAACUCCGAAUGCCAAUGACUUAUCCUUGGGAGUCAGACUGCGAGUGAUAAGAUCCGUAGUCGAAAGGGAAACAGCCCAGACCGCCAGCUAAGGUCCCAAAGUAUACGUUAAGUGGAAAAGGAUGUGGAGUUGCUUAGACAACCAGGAUGUUGGCUUAGAAGCAGCCACCAUUUAAAGAGUGCGUAAUAGCUCACUGGUCGAGUGACUCUGCGCCGAAAAUGUACCGGGGCUAAACGUAUCACCGAAGCUGCGGACUGUUCUUCGAACAGUGGUAGGAGAGCGUUCUAAGGGCUGUGAAGCCAGACCGGAAGGACUGGUGGAGCGCUUAGAAGUGAGAAUGCCGGUAUGAGUAGCGAAAGAGGGGUGAGAAUCCCCUCCACCGAAUGCCUAAGGUUUCCUGAGGAAGGCUCGUCCGCUCAGGGUUAGUCGGGACCUAAGCCGAGGCCGAAAGGCGUAGGCGAUGGACAACAGGUUGAUAUUCCUGUACCACCUCCUCACCAUUUGAGCAAUGGGGGGACGCAGGAGGAUAGGGUAAGCGCGGUAUUGGAUAUCCGCGUCCAAGCAGUUAGGCUGGGAAAUAGGCAAAUCCGUUUCCCAUAAGGCUGAGCUGUGAUGGCGAGCGAAAUAUAGUAGCGAAGUUCCUGAUUCCACACUGCCAAGAAAAGCCUCUAGCGAGGUGAGAGGUGCCCGUACCGCAAACCGACACAGGUAGGCGAGGAGAGAAUCCUAAGGUGAUCGAGAGAACUCUCGUUAAGGAACUCGGCAAAAUGACCCCGUAACUUCGGGAGAAGGGGUGCUCUGUUAGGGUGCAAGCCCGAGAGAGCCGCAGUGAAUAGGCCCAGGCGACUGUUUAGCAAAAACACAGGUCUCUGCGAAGCCGUAAGGCGAAGUAUAGGGGCUGACGCCUGCCCGGUGCUGGAAGGUUAAGAGGAGCGCUUAGCGUAAGCGAAGGUGCGAAUUGAAGCCCCAGUAAACGGCGGCCGUAACUAUAACGGUCCUAAGGUAGCGAAAUUCCUUGUCGGGUAAGUUCCGACCCGCACGAAAGGCGCAACGAUCUGGGCACUGUCUCAACGAGAGACUCGGUGAAAUUAUAGUACCUGUGAAGAUGCAGGUUACCCGCGACAGGACGGAAAGACCCCGUGGAGCUUUACUGCAGCCUGAUAUUGAAUGUUGGUACAGCUUGUACAGGAUAGGUAGGAGCCUUGGAAACCGGAGCGCCAGCUUCGGUGGAGGCAUCGGUGGGAUACUACCCUGGCUGUAUUGACCUUCUAACCCGCCGCCCUUAUCGGGCGGGGAGACAGUGUCAGGUGGGCAGUUUGACUGGGGCGGUCGCCUCCUAAAAGGU